rnacentral:lncRNA from 1 species
ACACUUACGAUCGUAGUCAGCUGUCGCCGGUCUCGUCGGUCGCUCGGGCCUCCCUCUACGACAUGCAGCGGUUCGAGCGGGACCCGUACGCGGACAGGGCGCGGUACUCUGCGUUUUGAGUCGGAGGAUGUGACCCCAAAGAGGAAGAAGCUUGGCAGGAAAAUCCCUCCCUGAGGAAGCAGCUCUGGGCUUUCCCCGUACGCUAGGAAUGGCAGAGACUUUUGCCGCGGCCUUGGAGAGCGGCACCCGACGGCCCUCGGAGGCUUGGCGGAGCUCUCGUUCUGGUCGCGUGCGCCGGGGCGGAAGCGUUCGGCCGG